rnacentral:ribozyme from 1 species
AGAACGACCAAAAAGCGGCCUCGGUGGUGCUCCCCUCACCGCUCCUCUCACCCCCCAACCACCCAACAGAACAAGAAAACUAUCAUGCCACGAUACCUCUGCUGCGUCUUUGAUGUGCACCCCUCCUCCU